AUUGCGAAGGCAGGUUACUACGUAUUUAUUGACGCUGAUGAACGAAAGCGUGGGGAGCGAACAGGAUUAGAUACCCUGGUAGUCCACGCCGUAAACGAUGGAUACUAGCUGUUCGGUUUUCGGACUGAGUGGCUAAGCGAAAGUGAUAAGUAUCCCACCUGUGGAGUACGUUCGCAAGAAUGAAACUCAAAGGAAUUGACGGGGGCCCGCACAAGCGGUGGAGCAUGUGGUUUAAUUCGAUGAUACGCGAGGAACCUUACCAGGGCUUAAAUGUAGAUUGACAGAUUUGGAAACAGAUUUUUCUUCGGACAAUUUACAAGGUGCUGCAUGGUUGUCGUCAGCUCGUGCCGUGAGGUGUCAGGUUAAGUCCUAUAACGAGCGCAACCCCUAUUGUUAGUUACCAGCGCGUAGUGGCGGGGACUCUAGCAAGACUGCCGGUGCAAACCGUGAGGAAGGUGGGGAUGACGUCAAAUCAUCACGGCCCUUACGUCCUGGGCUACACACGUGCUACAAUGGCAAGUACAGAAAGCAGCUACCUGGCAACAGGAUGCGAAUCUCCAAAGCUUGUCUCAGUUCGGAUUGGAGUCUGCAACUCGACUCUAUGAAGCUGGAAUCGCUAGUAAUCGGAUAUCAGCCAUGAUCCGGUGAAUACGUUCCCGGGCCUUGUACACACCGCCCGUCAAGCCAUGGAAGCUGGGGGUACCUGAAGUCGGUGACCGCAAGGAGCUGCCUAGGGUAAAACUAGUAACUAGGGCUAAGUG
rnacentral:rRNA from 1 species